GGUUAAGUGACUAAGCGUACAUGGUGGAUGCCUUGGCAGUCAGAGGCGAUGAAGGACGUACUAACCUGCGAUAAGCCGUGAGCAGUCGGUAAGAGACAUUACGACUCACGGAUUUCCGAAUGGGGAAACCCACUUAGCAUAAGCUAGGUAUCGCUACGUGAAUACAUAGCGUAGCGAGGCGAACCGGGAGAACUGAAACAUCUAAGUACCCCGAGGAAAAGAAAUCAACCGAGAUUCCCUCAGUAGCGGCGAGCGAACGGGGAUUAGCCCUUAAGCAUCUUGGAAGUUAGUGGAACGGUCCUGGAAAGGCCGGCGAUACAGGGUGAUAGCCCCGUACACGAAAACAACCUUGAUGUGAAAUCGAGUAGGGCGGGACACGUGACAUCCUGUCUGAAUAUGGGGGGACCAUCCUCCAAGGCUAAAUACUCCUGACUGACCGAUAGUGAACCAGUACCGUGAGGGAAAGGCGAAAAGAACCCCUGUGAGGGGAGUGAAAUAGAACCUGAAACCGUGUACGUACAAGCAGUGGGAGCCCUUCGGGGUGACUGCGUACCUUUUGUAUAAUGGGUCAGCGACUUACAUUUUGUAGCGAGGUUAACCGUAUAGGGGAGCCGUAGGGAAACCGAGUCUUAACUGGGCGUCUAGUUGCAAGGUGUAGACCCGAAACCGGGUGAUCUAGCCAUGGGCAGGUUGAAGGUUGAGUAACAUCAACUGGAGGACCGAACCCACUAACGUUGCAAAGUUAGGGGAUGACCUGUGGCUGGGGGUGAAAGGCCAAUCAAACUCGGAGAUAGCUGGUUCUCCCCGAAAGCUAUUUAGGUAGCGCCUCGGACGAAUACUACUGGGGGUAGAGCACUGUUUGGGCUAGGGGGUCAUCCCGACUUACCAACCCCAUGCAAACUCCGAAUACCAGUAAGUACUAUCCGGGAGACACACGGCGGGUGCUAACGUCCGUCGUGAAGAGGGAAACAACCCAGACCGCCGGCUAAGGUCCCAAAGUUCUGGUUAAGUGGGAAACGAUGUGGGAAGGCUCAGACAGCUAGGAUGUUGGCUUAGAAGCAGCCAUCAUUUAAAGAAAGCGUAAUAGCUCACUAGUCGAGUCGGCCUGCGCGGAAGAUGUAACGGGGCUCAAACCAGGCACCGAAGCCGCGGAUUCAC
rnacentral:rRNA from 1 species